GUGUGAUCCAAUAAAAGUGCAUCAGCUCUGCAUGUAUUUCUCCUCACAAGGUCAGCGCUGUUGAGAUUUAGAAGUUGAACAGAUGUCUCUAGUUGAGACUAUGAGGUGGUUAAAAUGUGCAGAAGCAAAAAAAAAAAGAUGCACUGCAUAGAAGAAAUAGAUACAUAGCUAUACUUGAAACAAGCUCCAGGCUCUGUAAUCCAGAAACAACACCUACUUGUUUGCUAAUUUAAGAUAGCAUUAUACAGAUUUCAACAAGCUGGAAGGCCUGGACAAAAUACAGGAACAGGCUUUUUAAGGAAGGAACAAGGCUUUAAGGAAGUUGAAGCAGCCAAAACAUAUACCAUAACAAAGAUAACAGUUCAGCUUUUAUUCUAUUUUAGAUUGACUUAACAUCUACACAAAACAUUACACCUUAUCUGAACAAGGAAAUUUGCAUGAAAGGUUUUUUUUUUUAUGUAUGGCAAUUUGUCUAUCAUAUAACCUAACCAUAAAGAAGUACGUAGUAAUCCAUCAUUCUACAGAAUCAGAAUACUGUACAUAAUAGCAAUAGAUCAUGUAGAGAAUUCUUGUGGCUUGAUCAACUAUUGGUUUUCCUGAACUUUGGGGGCUUCUGCAUUACUAUAGCCUGCAGCCAGUUUAUCUUUUCUCUCUCUCUUUCCAUGGGUUUUAGUUAUGAACCAAUCUUGUAAAACUACAGAAAAAUAUAUGAAGACAUAAAAAAAUACUAAGCUUAUUUCUUUCUCUUUUAGUUGUAGUAACAUUCUACAUGGCUAUUUAAUUACUCUGCUUGAAAGAUCCACUAAAGAAAGGUAUCCAGAACACAGGUUCAUUCAUUCACAUUUCCCAGCAUGAAUCCAUAUUUGUCAACUUUUUUACUUUACAUUUGGAUUAGGUGGAGGUAAAGGAGCAUGACCCUUUAGAAGAUAUAGACACAGUGCUGAAUAUUUAAAUGAAGAAAUCCAAAAUUAUACCGAAAGCAUUAUAUGCUGUCUGUGUUGUCAAGCAUUAGAUGAAGCACAGCAGUUCUACGUUGUAGGUCUUUACUGAUGCCAGUGGUCAGCUGAGUUCAGAAUUUAAGGUCCGCUGUAAUUUGUUGAUCCACAACUAAUAAUUUUGUGAAAUAUAAACAAAGUCUUUUUUACUCACACAAUAAA
rnacentral:lncRNA from 1 species